rnacentral:rRNA from 1 species
GUGAGGAAUAUUGGUCAAUGGGCGAGAGCCUGAACCAGCCAAGUCGCGUGAAGGAUGAAGGUUUUAUGAAUUGUAAACUUCUUUUGCAGGGGAAUAAAGUACGGUACGUGUACCGUUUUGUAUGUACUCUGCGAAUAAGGAUCGGCUAACUCCGUGCCAGCAGCCGCGGUAAUACGGAGGAUCCAAGCGUUAUCCGGAUUUAUUGGGUUUAAAGGGUGCGUAGGUGGUUUGAUAAGUCAGCGGUGAAAGUUUGCAGCUUAACUGUAAAAAUGCCGUUGAAACUGUCGGACUUGAGUGUAAAUGAGGUAGGCGGAAUGCGUGGUCUAGCGAUGAAAUGCAUAGAUAUCACGCAGAACUCCGAUUGCGAAGGCAGCUUACUAAGCUACAACUGACACUGAAGCACGAAAGCGUGGGGAUCAAACAGGAUUAGAACCCCUGGUAGUCC